rnacentral:rRNA from 1 species
CCAAUAGCGUAUAUUAAAGUUGUUGCAGUUAAAAAGCUCGUAGUUGAAUUUCGAGAUCAAAUUGUCGGUCGUGCCUCGGUACGUACUGGCAUUAUUGAUUUCUCCUUUCUGAAGAACCACGAUGUCAUUAAUUUGGUGUCUUGGGGAAUCAGGACUGUUACUUUGAAAAAAUUAGAGUGUUUAAAGCAGGCUCACGCUUGAAUACAUUAGCAUGGAAUAA